UCUGCUUCUCAGAGCAGGGUGACCUCAUUGUUGAAGAGGUGCAGAUUAAAAGAAGAAGCAGUCAUACAUGAGCAGCCUGACUUGUGGGGAGCCUCAGCUGCAGCACACUGCAGAGGAUGAAUACCUGAGCAGCCGGCCCCGCCCUUUGCCUGCCAACAAUGUCUGCCUUCUCUGCUGCGAGCUUUUGAGCGCAUCAGGAGGGAUGCAACGCCUGCUUUAGCUAAGGGGGUGCUGCUCCCUGUGGAUUCUGGUCCGCUGCAGCAUGGGAAAACACACAGAAGAUAUAAUCAAGGAGAAUGGAACUUUCAUUUCAAAACACACCCAAGUUGAGUCAAGGAUUUUUCUACCUACAUCCUCUGGAUUCCGAGCAAUUGGUCUAUUAUUCCAAUCACAACCUCACUUCUGAUUGAUCAGGAAGCCUCCUUGUGGUUCUCCACCCAUAUUACUACUGCAUAAUUGGUUCUCUUACUAGGACUAUCCCCUCUUCCCUUCCAAGGGAAAAACAAGGAAACACAUAACAGUUCCUCCAGUCAAGAAGGAAACUGAGAAGGCUGUUUGGAUGAUCCGACUGGUCGUUCAUUACAAAUAGGGUUAGACCACCACCGUUGAGGUUCUUGCCAACUGGAACUGCUGACCGAGGGGUAAAAGUUUCCCUAUUCCUAUUGCCAAGUACUUCAACUGAACACUUGCUCAUGUUUCAUUGUUACUACACUUCUGUACUGUACUGAAAAGACUGCUCACUCCGAAGUCUAACUUAACAGAUGUAGUCCCCAUGUAAGUGGAGGGCAAUGGAGGGGAGGUAUUGUGACAUUAACAACCACUUUGUCUUUCUACGAUAUCUUAUCACAUAAGUCUUCCUGCCUCCUUGAGCUUCUCUCACUAUAUCUCUGAAAACAAAAUUUGUAAAGAACUGUUGUUCACUGAGAUCAAUUAUUAAAUUGCAGCUCAUGUUUUUCUUUGUCCAACAUAACCUCUCUCUCCAAUCUUUGAGACCCUCCCUAUGUGCUACAGUAAAACAACUUCUGUCUAGAAUACAUUUCUUCCAGUUUAUAGUAUCCAAGUAGCCAUGAUGGCCUUAAUGGAAGUGUUUAUUAUAAUUUUUUUCUUCUUUAUGCCAUCACUUUGAAUACCCUAAAAGAAAAUAACAUUGUUCACACUUCUAAAUCUCAUGUCUAUGGUCAUGACCUAACUAUUCCUAAUGUAUAUUUUGUAAAAGACAUUUUCUUAUUUUGACCCAAUUUUUUUUGAGGGAGGAAUGGAAAACUCUGGAUCAAGUUCUCAAAUAAUUUCAAAUAAGAGGAAGAAUGUCUAGACUCCAAGUCCCCACUGAUGGUGUUCACUUAAUCACCUUCCACCUCAGUUCCCUCGUCAUAAAGGUGGCACAGUGGAUACAGCCCUAGGCAUCUGCCUUCAGACUCUUUGCCUUCAGACUCUUUUUUUUUUUUUUA